AUGCCAGAAGCCACUAGAAAAAGGAUUUUGAUAUUCAGAACCUCAUUAAGAGGUUCCCCUCAUCUUUGGAUAGAGACCAAAAUGAUACUUUCAAGUCCUCAUCUUUGGAUAGAGACCAAAAUGAUACUUUCAAAAAGCCUGACAGGUUUCUCCGGAAAAGUGGCCAUCCAUGGAAUGAAUGAAAUGUUCCCUUUCUAUUCCAGCACACAUCGUGGGUGUCUUGUCUCCCUGUUUCCCUGA
rnacentral:lncRNA from 12 species